rnacentral:rRNA from 1 species
AGAACGAACGCUGGCGGCAUGCCUAAUACAUGCAAGUCGAACGAAGGCUUCGGCCUUAGUGGCGCACGGGUGCGUAACGCGUGGGAAUCUGCCCCUUGGUUCGGAAUAACAGUUGGAAACGACUGCUAAUACCGGAUGAUGACGAAAGUCCAAAGAUUUAUCGCCAAGGGAUGAGCCCGCGUAGGAUUAGCUAGUUGGUGAGGUAAAGGCUCACCAAGGCGACGAUCCUUAGCUGGUCUGAGAGGAUGAUCAGCCACACUGGGACUGAGACACGGUCCAGACUCCUACGGGAGGCAGCAGUGGGGAAUAUUGGACAAUGGGCGAAAAGCCUGAUCCAGCCAUGCCGCGUGUGUGAAGAAGGUCUUCGGAUUGUAAAGCACUUUAAGUGGGAGGAAGGGUUGUAACUUAA